AAAAAAAAAGGAAAAAAAAAAGUAAAAAAGGGGUUUGGAAGUUUGGAUUGUAUUUUAGAGUAAUGUAUAAUCCACAAGUGAGUCCAUAUCUGGGGGCUGUUCUGCUCAUCAUUUUCUGUCUUUCUCUCUCCUCUUUUCUUUCAGAAUCAGAAAUAAAAACCCCAAUUUGAAUUUCAACUCCUCAAUUCUUCUAGAUCACCUUACUUCUUGUCUUGCUUCAAUCAUACCCAGAUCUUGUCAGUUACUUCUCCACCAGUUGAACUGACGCCUUCAUUCGACUCACAAAGAGUUCUCUGUAGGAGGGCUUGUGUUCUAGCUCAUCAGUGCAAGGGGCAGCUAUUUGAAUUUAGUACAGAUGAGAGUUUUUGGAAUUGGGGUUUUCUUAUUUGAUUGAACUGUUUAAGGUUUUUGAUUCGAUUUUGGCUGAUGAUCUUUGAUUCUGUGCCUUGGAGAAGGUUCUGUUUGGGUAUCCUUUAGGUUGAAGUGGAAUAAUAUUCUUAUCUUUACAUUAUCUGCUAAGAUAUGAUAAAGCAAAUAUUGGGUAGGCUUCCUAAGAAGCCAUCUAAGUCUGCUGAUGCCCGCGAUCCUCUCUCUUCGGGUGCUUUAGCUGGUGCUAGGACUGGUGAUGCAGCUGGCCAUAGACCAGGAAAUGGAAAGGAUGUGUCUCACCAAGGUUUCCAUCCAUCUUCAAAUUCGGGUGUGGGUAAUGGGAAUAAAACCGCGCAGGUAGAUGAUUUAAUUGCUAAUGAAAGCUACACUGCCAACCCGUUUGAGGCAUUGCCUAGUUUUAGAGAUGUUCCGAGCUCUGAGAAGCAGAAUUUGUUCAUAAGGAAGGUUCACUUGUGUUGUCAUAUUUUUGAUUUCACUGACCCCACAAAGAACCUGAAAGAAAAGGAGAUUAAGAGACAUACAUUGCUGGAGCUUGUGGAAUAUGUAAGCUCCGCCAAUGGUAAGUUUACAGAAAAUGCGAUGCAAGAGCUCAUUAAGAUGGUGUCUGCAAAUUUAUUUAGGUCACCCGCUACUCAGCCUCGUGAGAAUAAGGCUUUAGAGGCUUAUGAUUUGGAAGAGGAGGAGCCUUCAAUGGAUCCUGCAUGGCCUCAUUUGCAGAUUGUUUACGAGCUCUUUUUAAGGUUUAUAGCAUCACCUGAGACUGAUACAAAGCUGGCCAAGAGGUAUAUUGAUCACGGUUUUAUUCUUAAGUUGUUAGAUAAUUUCGAUUCUGAAGACCCGAGAGAGAGGGAGUAUUUGAAAACAAUUCUUCAUCGCAUCUAUGGCAAGUUUAUGGUGCAUCGCCCAUUCAUUAGGAAAUCAAUAAACAACAUUUUUUAUCGUUUUAUCUUUGAAACUGAGAAGUUUAAUGGGAUUGCGGAGCUUUUGGAAGUUUUGGGCAGCAUCAUUAAUGGGUUUGCUUUACCUUUAAAGGAGGAGCACAAGUUGUUCCUUGUCCGCGUCCUGAUUCCCCUCCACAAACCAAAAUGCUUGUCAACAUACCACCAACAGUUAUCUUAUUGCAUCACUCAGUUUGUGGAGAAGGACAGUAAGCUUGCAGAUGCUGUAAUUAGGGGUUUAUUGAAGUACUGGCCAAUUACCAACAGUACAAAGGAAGUUAUGUUCCUCAGUGAGCUGGAGGAGGUUUUGGAGGCAACCCAAUUGCCUGAAUUCCAGCGUUGCAUGGUGCCAUUAUUUCGGCGCAUUGCUCGUUGCUUGAGCAGCUCCCACUUUCAGGUGGCAGAGCGGGCUUUGUACCUAUGGAGUAAUGAUCAUGUAGAAAACCUGAUUAAGCAAAAUCGUAAAACUAUUCUUCCCAUUAUCUUUCCUGCUCUGGAGAAAAAUUGUCGAACCCACUGGAACCAGGCUGUUCAGAGCUUGACCCAGAAUGUGCGGAAGAUUUUCUCUGACGUAGAUCCAGAGCUUUUCGAGGAGUGUAUGCGAAAGUUUGAGGAAGAUGAAGCUAAAGAGAAAGAGCGAAAAGAAAAACAAGAAGCCAUAUGGAGGCGCUUAGAAGAGAUAAUUUUAACCCAAUCUAAAACUAGUGAAAUGCCCUUAGCUCCUCAAAGUACAGCUGCUCAAACAGUCGCAAGCUAGCAUUUAGGACAUGCUGGCUUGUAGUUCAAUCAUUGAUGAUUUGGAGGUUUUGGUUUAUAUGGUAAGUCCCUGUUGAAAAACGCUGAUUAAUGCCAGUCCCCUCCUUUUAAUUUCUGGUGUGAGGAUCUUGGGGACAGAUCACCCCAUAUGCUGGGCUGAAAGAUGCAAUAUGAGUUAGCAGCUGUCUGGACCAGAAGUGUUGAGGAGACAAAUCAAGCUACGGAUUUUUCUGAUGGUGAUUUUCUGGUUGUUACCAUGUUAUACACAGAGGAGCUAUAGAUUCCAGGUACUAUGUUAUACACAGAGGAGCUAUAGAUUCCAGGCAUUGAUAUCCUCUCCUUCAGGGUAAUGAUGUAUUGAAUUGUUACUUAUGCCUUGUGCUACCAAAUGACCUGCUGUAAGCUGUAUCGCCUUGUGUUAGGUCGAUACUACAUUCUCAAAAACCUUAUCAGCUAAGUUAGCAAGUCUUGGCUUUGAAGAGAUUGUUGUUAUUUGGAUUUAUGCAUCCUUUUCGAAAUUUAUCCUUUCACUGGAUUUCUAGUCUUAAUGUGUUAGUGACCACUUAGACAGGGAUUGUGAGUUUGUUGGUAUGUAAAUUUUGGAAUCUUUUGAGAUGCAUGACUUAUUAUGGAUAAGUACUGUUUUGUGGUCAGGACUUUUUUUAUUAUGAUAUGAUUUAGGGUUGUUGGUGGAUUGAAACCAGUCAUUUGGUUAAUUAUCAUUUACCAACCAGACAAUUACUUAUUAGAGCAGUGGAGGUCGUUUUCAAUGUUUUAAGGUGGGUAAUGCUCAUUAGCUGAAUAAGUAUAGUAUUUUUUUCAUGUUUCCCAAAACCUUUCUUUAAAUUAAGGAUCAUUCACUACCUUAUCAUUUAGGGGACUGUUUUUUUUUUUUUUUAUCCUUCUCAAAGAAAGGUUCUCAUUUGGGGAAUUUAAGAUCACUGUAAGCAGUCUUAUGUAGAAAAGGACUCAGUUGUCGAUAGGAGCUGAUGUAAUGGUUGCAGAAGGAAAAUUAGAUGAAGCGGUGUCAAUGGAACUGUGGAUGUCAUGGUCCUGAUCUCAGAAAUGGUAAUACCAUCAUCCAGUGCCAAGAUUUUUUUUUUUUUCUUUUUUUGUCCAAAACACACCCAAUUUGAUAAUUAUUGCUUAUCUUUGAGAUGGACCUAUUAUUCCUAUUAUCAGCAAGUCAAAUGAUUAAAGCAGUGUAUGUUCCAAGAACCUAGUUUUGGUUUUGGCCACUUUAAUGAACAACAAUUGGCUAAGAGCUAAGCUUAAUGUUCAAGGUUAAGGCUUAAGAGUCUUGAGGUCUUGUUAUCAUAGUUAGUUAUACUUAUUUCUUGGCCUUAGAAUUACCGAAAGAAGAUCAACUUAUGGUUGCCAAGAAGUCUAAAUGAAAGAUUAGGUAAUCUUGUUGGACAUCGGGAAGACACGAGCAAAUGCGUAAGAUGACUAGUCUCCUGGUGCGCUCUUAGAUAUUUGGUUGCUUGUGGCCUUGGCUUAUUUUUCUGUAAACCGAGCAGGAUUCAAAUCUGGCCUUUGUUGAGCACCUUUGAAACUGACUAAGUGCAUGCUUGAACCACUAUACACUAAUGACAUGAUCGAGCCUGCAAAAGCUCAGAUCUUCGAGACCAUCGCUGAGCCAUUUGAGGUCUGCCGUCUUUUGGGUUAAGUUACGAACUACCCUUUGGAAAACAGAAGGGUGGUAAUAAUGUUAUGAUUCGUUCAAACAUGCAAAUCUGUAAAGCUGAUAUAUAAAACUAAAAAAAAAUAACCA